UGAAUUUGUUUCAAAUUAUUUCUUUGUGGGUUAACCAUUAUAAUACUCCAUUAUUAGUAAUUUUGAAACAUAGAAUGAAACAUUGAAUCUAUAUUGAUAUUCGUCGUAUAUCGAAUGUUGUUGCGUUGUUUUAAUUUUUGAUAUGAAAAGUUAUAAUGUUCUGUGAAUACUAUAAGGAUACAUUAUAUAAGCACAAGUCACAAGAACAUCGUUGGAGUCAUUGGGAUAACUGCGUGCCACUCGAUUGUCAGGUUAAAGCAAAGCCUAGCAUGGUCAGCACAUAGAAGGUGAACCGCUUGGAAUUGAAGCUAUCGACGGACGCAAGGAAUUUACGAUGCCAAGGAUAUAUGAUACUAAGGAUUUGUUACACCACAGAGAUACGCAGUAUAUCCCAAAAAGAUUUAGCUAGUCUAAUAGCAAGAAGUUUUGAUGACAAGGAUCUAUGAAAUUAGGGGUUAAUGAUACUAAAGUUCUGUGCGUUCGCGUAUCUUUAGUAUGUAUGUGCAUGCACUUGUAUCAUUGACCCCUCGUGAUAAAAGUGAAUGUCAAGUAUAAGUACUAGUAAUAUAGUAGCGGUAAUAGAGUACUAGCAGAGUAGCGGUAGUAUCGAUAAUAACAGUACGUAGUACUACCUGUACCUCUACGAUAGAGUUUAAUAUUAGUAAUAGUAAUAGUUGUUGUAUUUAAUAAUAAUAAUAGUAAGUCUUGUGCAAGCAACAAAUGACAUUUGCGUUGUUUAACACCGUAUCAUACGAAUCAUCCUUUGAGAUAAUAUUUGGAAGUUAACCGACAAUUAGCGAUACAGACACUUGCCAAGUGCAAAGACUUUAGUGCAAAGAAGCGAUUAAAGUUGCUUGGAUCUUAGGUUUCCUUGGAUCCUAGACGCUUUAAAUCUUCAUCACAAAUCAAAGAAAUCGGAUAGUUUAUGUACCAGUUACAUUGUAUUAAUAAAACCUAGUUACAUCCGUUUUAUCUUUUCCUUUCCGAAAUUACUUACUUCAUAUUAUUCCUGAAAGCUCUUUACGAAAACUCUUUUUAUGGAAAACCGUAAAUUUAAUUUUACAAAUAUUCCAAUUAUGUAAUAGAACCUGUAAAUAAGUAUGCUUUUGGCUGUCGUACUAAACAUUUUGUUCGAUGUAUUUUAGCAUAUUAUUUCAAGAUAGUAGAUUAUGCAAUUCUGAUCAAUAGACGAACAAUCAAACAGCAGGCAGAUAGUAAACGGACAAAUAGACAAACAGACAGACAGACA